rnacentral:rRNA from 1 species
AUCUAUACUGUGAAACUGCGAAUGGCUCAUUAAAUCAGUUAUCGUUUAUUUGAUAGUACCUUACUACUUGGAUAACCGUGGUAAUUCUAGAGCUAAUACAUGCUAAAAACCCCGACUUCGGAAGGGGUGUAUUUAUUAGAUAAAAAACCAAUGCCCUUCGGGGCUCCUUGGUGAUUCAUGAUAACUUAACGAAUCGCAUGGCCUUGCGCCGGCGAUGGUUCAUUCAAAUUUCUGCCCUAUCAACUUUCGAUGGUAGGAUAGUGGCCUACCAUGGUAUCAACGGGUAACGGGGAAUUAGGGUUCUAUUCCGGAGAGGGAGCCUGAGAAACGGCUACCACAUCCAAGGAAGGCAGCAGGCGCGCAAAUUACCCAAUCCCGACACGGGGAGGUAGUGACAAUAAAUACUGAUACAGGGCUCUUUUGGGUCUUGUAAUUGGAAUGAGUACAAUUUAAAUACCUUAACGAGGAACAAUUGGAGGGCAAGUCUGGUGCCAGCAGCCGCGGUAAUUCCAGCUCCAAUAGCGUAUAUUAAAGUUGUUGCAGUUAAAAAGCUCGUAGUUGAACCUUGGGCCUGGCUGGCCGGUCCGCCUCACCGCGUGUACUGGUCCGGCCGGGCCUUUCCUUCUGGGGAUCCUCAUGCCCUUCACUGGGUGUGCUGGGGAACCAGGACUUUUACUUUGAAAAAAUUAGAGUGUUCAAAGCAGGCCUUUGCUCGAAUACAUUAGCAUGGAAUAAUAGAAUAGGACGUGCGGUCCUAUUUUGUUGGUUUCUAGGACCGCCGUAAUGAUUAAUAGGGAUAGUCGGGGGCAUCAGUAUUCAAUUGUCAGAGGUGAAAUUCUUGGAUUUAUUGAAGACUAACUACUGCGAAAGCNUUUGCCAAGGAUGUUUUCAUUAAUCAGUGAACGAAAGUUAGGGGAUCGAAGACGAUCAGAUACCGUCGUAGUCUUAACCGUAAACUAUGCCGACUAGGGAUCGGGCGAUGUUAUUCUUUUGACUCGCUCGGCACCUUACGAGAAAUCAAAGUCU